rnacentral:rRNA from 1 species
CACACGACUCUCAGCAACGGAUAUCUCGGCUCUCGCAUCGAUGAAGAAUGUAGAAAAAUGCGAUACCUGGUGUGAAUUGCAGAAUCCUGCGAACCAUCGAGUUUUUGAACGCAAGUUGCGCCCGAGGCCUUCUGGCUGAGGGCACGCCUGCCUGGGCGUCAUGA